AAACCAUGGUGGGGACACUAUCUUAAUAAACCUUUGAAUUUGUCUCAUGCUUCAAAUAAUGAUUCUCCAUCUGCUUGAGUAAAAUUUGUGAUGCAAUUCCUCAU